CACCAAUUUCAUCAUCGGCUGCACCCAAAAAAAACAAACUUGAUUGAACUGGAUGUACACGGCGGAGGAGGAUUUUGCACAGCCAUCAGAUCUGGGGACAUUGACACAACAAUCAACUAAUGGCCUAUUCAUGGAGUGAGUGGAAAAAUAUCAGGAGAAGAAUGUUAAUGUGGUGAUGAGAAGUGACAGAGUUGCUGUCAAUGAGGCUCACCUGCCAACUGCAAAGUCACAAUUCACGUCCAGAUUUUGGAGGUCUCAGUCUUUAAGUACUACAUUACAGCAACCCCUUGACAUCUUGUCUGCUCAACCAUUGAAUCAUCAUUAUCAUUAUUGUUACUGUUAUCUUUUCAAUGGAUUUAUUGUGAAAGCUGGCAACAAUCUAAAAUUUAUUGAAGAGAAAAAAUGGUUACCUAGUAAGCAUGGUGACAUAGACUGUAAAUGGAGUGCCUUGUCUGUAAAUUUUCUCCUUGGUUUCUUCUUGGUACUCUGGUUUCCUCCCACAGUUUAAAAAACAUCCAGUUAGACAAAUUAUUUACUCUAAACAAACUUUGACAGCCCAGUAUGACUAAAGUAGCAUUUAUACUUUUAAACUGAAUGGAUGCAGACAGCUGAAGACACAAACAGAACAGGCUGUGCAUCCGCCUUGAUUGUGUUCAUGAGUUUGUGGCACCUCACUGCUGCAAAAUCAUACCACGCAUGUGCACUGGCCUUCUCUUCAAAUGCAUUCAUGUUUUGUUGUCAAGUUCAUGCACAUUCAUUACACACACAGGUGUGUAAAGACCUGCAUGGAUACAAAGAUCUGGAGGCACACCAUUGCAGGUGCACAUAUGGGUAAGACAUGACUGCUGAAGAAAUUUACAUCCUGCAGACCCUCAGAGAAUCUCAAAGCUACGAAGAGACGCAAAGCAUAAGCGUGCUUCAGGUGCCCUGUGAUUGACUGGUAUUCCUCCAUUGUUCCUGUUUCAGAAUAUCAAUUUUGUCUAACCCACGACCUUGCACUUUCAGAAAGGAUUCCAGCAAAUAAAUAAGUAAAUGGAUGGAGACCAGUGAU